rnacentral:pre_miRNA from 1 species
UGAUGAAUAACAGUGCGGUCCUCCUUUGGCAUGGAGAAAUGCAUGCAUGAAUGGAUGCCCUAAUCACAUGUACGACAUGCUUUUCUGCUUUGCCAAAGGAGAAUUGCCCUGCCAUUCCCUC